AGGGUUAGCACUAUCGUCAAGUCUUUUGGUUUGAGUUCAGCAGGUUGAAUGACUGCCCUCAGAGUCAUUUUGCAAGGCACUCCAGUGUACCUCUUCCCCAAGCCGAUGGAGAAAGUAAGGGCGAAGAGCAUACUUGUGCAAACUCCUCUACUUCAUUGCAUAUAGACUUUGAAGUUUAUUUGAACAUCUUGAGGUACUGAAGGAAAUUUGUCAAAUUCGCUCCCUCGUGACAAUAACCACAAUAGAUAUCAUGUGAAGUAGGCAGUUACUGAUUUUGUUGGGUCUUACGUACUUGCUAGACAGAUGUGUUUGCUUUAAGUAAAAGAUAUUUUGCUCUCAAAAGUCAUUUUGCAAGGCACUCCAGUGUACCUAUGCCCCAAGCCGAUGAAAAAAGUAAGGGUGAAGAGCAUGUUUGUGCAAACUCCUCUACUUCAUUGCAUAUAGACUUCGAAGUUUAUUUGAACAUCUUGAGGUACUGAAGAAUAUUUGUCAAAUUUGCUCCCUCGUGACAAUAACCAAAAUAGAUAUCAUGUGAAGUAGGUAGUUACUGGUUUUGUUGGGUCAUAUGUACUUGCUAGACAGAUGUGUUUGCUUCAAGCAAAAGAUAUUUUUAGUUUGGAAUUCUUUUAAGAAAUAAAAUGCAAACAUGUGGCCAUAAUUACUGGAAAUUAAAUGAUUAGAAU
rnacentral:lncRNA from 1 species